rnacentral:rRNA from 1 species
GACGAACGCUGGCGGCAUGCCUAACACAUGCAAGUCGAACGGAGAUUAUUUCGAUAAUCUUAGUGGCGAACGGGUGAGUAACGCGUGGGCAACCUGCCCUCUAGAUGGGGACAACAUCCCGAAAGGGGUGCUAAUACCGAAUGUGACAGCAAUCUCGCAUGAGGAUGCUGUGAAAGAUGGCCUCUAUUUAUAAGCUAUCGCUAGAGGAUGGGCCUGCGUCUGAUUAGCUAGUUGGUGGGGUAACGGCCUACCAAGGCGAUGAUCAGUAGCCGGGCUGAGAGGAGGAACGGCCACAUUGGGACUGAGACACGGCCCAGACUCCUACGGGGGGCAGCAGUGGGGAAUCUUCCGCAAUGGGCGAAAGCCUGACGGAGCAAUGCCGCGUGAGUGAUGAAGGAAUUCGUUCCGUAAAGCUCUUUUGUUUAUGACGAAUGUGCAAGUUGCGAAUAAUGACUUGUAAUGACGGUAGUAAACGAAUAAGCCACGGCUAACUACGUGCCAGCAGCCGCCGUAA